UCCUGUCUCCCAAGGUCAUUCCCGCAUACCAUUACAUUCUUGGAUGGAAAGGCUAGUUUGAUAAGUCAGAAAAAAAGGCAUGCAAGCACUUCUGUAUUGUUGCCAGGAAAAUUAUGGGAAUGUCCAUGAAGUUCAACAGAUGCUAAACUCAUCUCAAAGGAGAUUGUUUGAACCUAUCUCUCAAGGAUGCCCUAUGGGACAGCUGCCCAUUUCUUCUUAUUAAGUCACUCUAGCUCUGUGUAUUUCUGCUUGGAAGAAAAUUAUACUGACUUCAAUAGGAAUUUCUAAAGUCAGUAUAAGAACAUAAGAUUUCAGUGCUGGACAUAGGGAGAUCUCCUAGUAUAUACUACCAUUACUUCCUGGCUGGAGUAAAAUUGCUCCAAGGAAUCUUGGAGGACACUGAAACUUCAAACCACUUCAGUCUGAGUUUAGAUCUGGUGUUGACACCAAGGCACCCUUAAUUCCAAUACACGGUGAAUUACUUACACCUAGGAAUGGAUUGGAAGAUUGCCGAUCUUGGUGAAGCUGAAUAACUUAUUCGUGGUUUUGGAAUGGAUGGGAGCAAAUGAAUUUAAUUCAGAUAAAACAGAAGGAUUAUGGAUGGGGAAAUCUGAUAAACGGGAAGGGGACCCAAAAACCAAGUUCAUACUUCUUGAUUCAGUACUGUCUGUGGAAACUUAGCUGGCUAUGACUGUUCUAAACCAAUUUUGUAUGCUGUCAAGGAAAAAAAGAACCUAGAAUUGAAUUACAGUACACAUGCACCACAUCCAUAUAAUGUACUGUUUGUGGAAUUGCCUUUGCUGAAAAGUUUGCAGAAUCAAUCAGUUUUAUUUAUUAUGCCCUUUGGCUGGUAAAUAAAACAGUUAAAAGGAAAAAGGAGAGUCAAAAUAGAUAAACACAAAUAAGCAUAUACGGCAAUCCAUUUUAAAUUGUACUGUGGAUCCACUGCCUAAGAUGUGAUGCUAGAUAACAAAACUUUGCAACAUAGGUUAUAUUAAAAAAAACCCUCAUCCACAAGCAGAAAGUCUAGAUAGAAACUUUCUUUGGGUAAUUGUGGAAUUUAGUCACUACGUGGCAAAAGCAAUUGACACCAAAAUGUUUUUUACUGCAUCCAAUUUUUGUAUUAUUUCUGUUUGCUCAACCCGAAGGAGGAUGUUCAAUAGAUGGAUUAAUUCAUUCUCUUCAUCUACAUUUUCUGAUAGAUUAAUUUUCUGCUUGGUUGAGGUUUCUCGUGCCUCCCUUCUGUGUUUUCUAAGGCAAUGUUUAUUGUUUAACCUUGAGGGAGAUUGAAUUUAGGCCUUCUCCUGGCUGCAGAGGGGGGAGGCACAGACCAGAGGAGUCCUGCCUUUGAGCCUCCCCAAAUGAUUGGCUUGGUUCCCAGCUUGGAGGCGGGGGUCAAUGCGAUCACCCUUGAAAACCCCUAUGGGAACAAGGCAAAAUCUCCUCAGGUAAUUUUUCAGUCUAAAAAUCAUCAGAGGCAAAGUAGAGUCCCUAAAAGUUAAUACACUUCUCUUAAAGCCAUGCAACCUUAUGCAGCCCAGUUAUAUCAGUAAGCUUGUGGGUAGUCCUUGCUUAUCAAUAAGCUAUACAGGUAGUCCUUGCUUAUCAACAGGAAUUGGAACCGGGAACUCCAUUGCUAAGUGAUGUGGUUGUAAAGCACAACAUCAUGUGAUCUCACUGACUUAAUGACAGCAGUUUUGGCAGUCCCAGUUGCCAUUGUUAGGUGAAUCCUGCACGGUUGCAGCGUCCCGUGGUCAUGUGAUCACCAUUUGCAACCUUUUGCCAGCUUCCUCCUGCCAGCAGUUAAGUUCACAAAUGGUGACUAUGUGACUAUGGGAUGCUGCAAUGUUGUAAUUGUGAGCCAGAUGCUGAGUUCCUGAAUAAUUAUCGUAUGACCCCAGGGAUGCAGGGACAGUCACAUAGUCGCUGAACAAGUGGUCUGACUUUGGUUGCUGAAUGAGUGGUCGUUAAAUGAGGACUACCUGUAUACUUCACAUGUCUGAAGCUGGGCAGGUAAGUGCAGGUUUGUUGUACUAUCUUCCCUCUUUUAUUUGGACACUUGCAAUCUGCAACAUCACUCUGUUCAGUUGAAGUAUGCCGACAUUGCCUUUACUUUCAGCAGAGCAGAACUUCUGCCUGUUGUAAGGGCAUGGUAGAUUCUCUUCAGAAAAGUAAGAGUUAAUUCUCUGCUUGGGAACUGUCAACUGCUCUUCCCGAUACUGAAUAUGAGAUUAUCAGUGAUUUGUUUCUUCAAAAGGUUUUUUGAAAAGUUUUUUUUUAAUUGCUUCAGCUACUUUUGAAGUAUAUUCCAUAUCACCAGGCCCUGAUCGGCAUCCAUCCAAGGGUUAUUAAGGAUCUUAAAGCUGAGAUUAUGGACCUCCUAACUAAAAUAUGCA